UACGAAGGGGGCUAGCGUUGCUCGGAAUCACUGGGCGUAAAGCGCACGUAGGCGGGUUUUAAGUCAGGGGUGAAAUCCUGGAGCUCAACUCCAGAACUGCCUUUGAUACUGAAGAUCUUGAGUCCGGGAGAGGUGAGUGGAACUGCGAGUGUAGAGGUGAAUUCGUAGAUAUUCGCAAGAACACCAGUGGCGAAGGCGGCUCACUGGCCCGGUACUGACGCUGAGGCACGAAAGCGUGGGAGCAAACAGG
rnacentral:rRNA from 1 species